rnacentral:rRNA from 1 species
AGUGAACGCUGGCGGUAGGCCUAACACAUGCAAGUCGAACGGCAGCACAGGAGAGCUUGCUCUCUGGGUGGCGAGUGGCGGACGUGUGAGGAAUACAUCGGAAUCUACUUUUUCGUGGGGGAUAACGUAGGGAAACUUACGCUAAUACCGCAUACGACCUACGGGUGAAAGCAGGGGAUCUUCGGACCUUGCGCGAUUGAAUGAGCCGAUGUCGGAUUGGCUAGUUGGCGGGGUAAAGGCCCACCAAGGCGACGAUCCGUAGCUGGUCUGAGGGAGUGAUCAGCCACACGGGAACUGAGACACGGUCCAGACUCCUACGGGAGGCAGCAUUGGGGAAUAUUGGACAAUGGGCGCAAGCCUGAUCCAGCCAUACCGCGUGGGUGAAGAAGGCCUUCGGGUUGUAAAGCCCUUUUGUUGGGAAAGAAAUCCAGCUGGUUAAUACCCGGUUGGGAUGACGGUACCCAAAGAAUAAGCACCGGCUAACUUCGUGCCAGCAGCCGCCGUAA